UUCAAGACUGUAGUGCUUUGGAAUCCUUGCAAUUUGUGAUGGAUGAGGGAGGGGCUUCUUCAACUUCUUCUUUAUUGAUGAAUGAGGAGAAUCUUAGCUGCAUUGGAAACAACAAUGCAUCUCUUCUUGGGCACUUGGAAAUUUCUAAUUGUCCAUCCCUAAAAUGCAUAUCAACAAUAGUCGACCUAGCUACCAUGCUUAAACGCCUUGAUAUUAAAGAAUGCCCAAAUCUAACAUCUUUAUCAUCGAGAGACACGUUACCUACCACCCUUAAAGUCCUUAGGCUAGUGGAUUGUCCAAAACUGGAGUUGGACAAGUUAAACAAGGAUAUUUUACUUGAACAUCUUUUAAUUGAUGGUUGUGAAAAGCUUAGGUGCUUAUCGAAUAGCCUACACGAACUGUGUCACCUCAAAGAGAUUGAUAUAUACAAGUGUAAUAGUAUUAUCUCUUUAGGAGAUUUGCUCCCCACCAACUUGGAAAGUCUUGAAAUCAAAUACUGUGAGAAACUGGAGGCCUUGUCGAACAACAUAAACAACCACUGUCACCUCAAAGAGAUUGAUAUAUUCAGGUGUAAUAGUCUUAUCUCUUUAGGAUAUUUGCUCCCCACCAACUUGAGAAGUCUUAAAAUCAAAGACUGUGAGAAACUGGAGGCCUUGCCGAACAACAUAAACAACCACUGUCACCUCAAAGAGAUUGAUAUAUUCAGGUGUAAUAGUCUUGUCUCUUUAGGAUAUUUGCUCCCCACCAACUUGAGAAGUCUUAAAAUCAAAGACUGUGAGAAACUGGAGGCCUUGCCGAACAACAUACACAACCUCAACUUUCUGCAAGAUUUAUCAAUAUGUGACUGUCCAAGUAUCAUAUCCUUUCCGGAAGAGGGUUUCCCCACCAACCUUAGACAGCUUUGGUUGUCAGGGGCGAAUCUCUGUAAGCAAGUAUUUGAGUUCGGACUGCACAGACUCACGUCGCUUACAUAUCUCUCGAUUGCUAAUGGAAUUAUGGAUUCGUUUCCAGAAGAGGAAGAUGGGAAGACGAUGUUGAUGUUGCCUACAUCUCUCACUACCCUGAGGUUUUAUAAGUUUCCAAAUUUGUUAUUCCUCUCCUGGAAGUUCUUUCAAAACCUCUCUGCACUUAAAGAAAUUUCCAUUGGUGCGUGCCCUAAACUCGCAUAUCUCUCAGAGAAGUGUUUUCCUCCUUCGCUUCAGCGAUUUCAUAUAUUAUGGUUGUCCUGUGCUAAAACAAAACUGCGAGAAAGAGAUAGGGAUAAUGUGGUCAAAGAUUGUCAACAUCCCUUGGGUUGAAUUGAUGGCCUGAAGCAGCAGAAAUAAUUUUGCAAAAGAGAGAGAUCUUCCUUCCAGUGUUGCAGUAGAGGCUAGCUUCAAAACUUGGAGGAGGUUACAUAUCAUGUUGAGGAACAAUGAUAGGUGGAUAUGCACAUAAUGGCAGGAUGGCUUUUUAUAAAUAUGAUGCCUGAGCAGCAUGUCAUUUUAACCAGAGAUCAUGCUUUGCACAGAUGAUCAAAUUCUUACAUGUGUUGCAGAUGGCAGCCACUCCUUGUAAAUUCAGGAAUGUGACCAUGUGGUCAUGAUCAAAAAGAAAAGGCUGGGAAUCAUUCUCUAAGAAGCUGUAAACCUACUGUGUGCAAUUGGAUACAAUUUGGUGAUUGUCAGGAGUGGCAAGUGUUGAUCUUUGGUGGAGGUGGUGGGUUUGGAGCAGAUAAGGUGCAAGCUUUGUCGGACAAUUUGUGAAGCCUUAUACUAUGUACUUGUGAAAGGUGUGGCAGCUGCACUUGUACUCACGAAUAUGUAUGGGGUUUACAGCCUUUGUUGUGGAUUGAAAACAUGAAGCUGUGAGAUACAUGCUGUUAACAUAUUGUUGUGUUGUGUUCCUAAUCUUCUAAGCCUUGGUUUCAUCAAGCUGUUGUCAAUGCUGUGAUAGUGCUUGAUUAUAGUAAGAAAAUGGAGCAGCUUUGUAGGGAGGCUUACUUGUUAAAGAAGGACCAAGUUAUCAAGCUGAGGGAAGUGUUGACAAGGAUGGAAACUUCUGGUUAUGCAGGAUGUGAUAAGAGAUGAAGUUGGAAAGGUUCAUGCUUGUUUUGCAAGGACAGAAUGGGUAAUGCUGUUACUGCUGGAUUCUUUAGCUGUGAAAAAAAUUCCAAAUCCACUGCCUUCCUCCUCCUAUUGAGACAAGCUCUGUGGCCUUGAAGCAUAUAAGAAUUCAAAGUGUUUUUGUGCUCUCAACCGGCAAAUAGCUGGAAAAACUUUUUGAAAACAGACAAAAUCAAGACUGGUUGAGUGCAGGUGUUAUUGGUGACCUUCAAAGUCUAUUAACCAGUGUAAGAAAUGUUGGCUCUAAUAGGAUUGAUCCCAGAAUUUUUUGUCAUGUCAGGCACUAUGCAAAGAUGACAUCAAACUGCUAUAUGAAUAUCUUUUGGUCCUCUGCUGGUAGGUAGGGGCUCUAUUUUGGUCCUGUCUGUAUUGAACCUUUUGCUGUGCUUGUGUCCUGUCUCCUUUUUAUCUAACUAAUGUUUUGUGUUGUGCCUAAUCAAAGUUACUAGUUUGCACUAUAUAGUAAGGAAUGUGGUUGACGUGCAACCAGUUUGACCAAUUUGUUGGAAGAUUUUUUUUUGAAACCUUAGUUUUAGGCUCAGUAAUCAAACAAUCUUGGCUUAAAAAAUCAUUCAGACUGCAGUACACAUUGUGCUUGAAAUCGCAGCUUUUCUUUCAACUACUAUGGUACUCUUUGAUGAUGGAUGGUUGCAUUCAUGACGGGCUAAUUAGUAAUACCCAACAGUACAUUGAUUUGUUGGAUUCUAGAGUUCAUGUUCAUUUUCAGCAAUUUCACAAAAGACCUAUGAAAGAAAGGCGAGAAGGAGAAUAGAGGUGUGCUCUGUAAUUGACAAACAUUCCUCUCAGUUUGCACGUUCAGCCAUGUUCAGGAAUGUUUUUCAUUGGUUGUACUGUUUAAAGGAGGCCAACCUGUUAAUCAUAUAUGUGCUAAACCAGUGAGAACAUGGAAACAAUAAUAUUUGAACUCAGUUUGCAAGUCUGUGCGUCCACUUCCUCGCUAAAUGAUUUGAUCUUGAAGUCGUCCACAGGCAUCUGCAAUUCCAAUAUGAGACAAUUGGAAGAAAAAGUUCCAUAAGGCAAUAAAUGCUCUCUUCAUUUUUGUGUGGAUUCCCUGCCCCUUAGUUUGGGGCAGUAGAGGCUAGCUUCUGAACUCCUAAAAGCUUUUCUUGAAUUUCAAAACUUGGAGAUAUGUAAAAUUUUGGAUUAUGUUAUAUUAUAUAUCAUAUUGUGGAAGACGAUGAUUAGUGGAAAUGCACAAAAUGACAGGAUAGCUUUUUAAUAAGAUGCCUGAGCAGAAUGUUAUUUUUACCGAAGAUCGUGCUUUGCAAGGAUAUUCAAGCGUUGUCACCUGUGCUAUAGAUGGGCAGGGAUUUCACAAUGGAAAUAUGGAAAGAGGGCCAGAAGGAGAGGGGAGGUUGGACCGUAAUUCACAAAUAUUCUUCUCAUCUCCAGAGGAAUUAAAGAGCAAUGGGAGGAGGCAUUCUGGUCUGACAGAGCCAAAAACCUAAUCGACUUUUCCACCCGUGUUUAUGUAAAUAAAAAUGCAAGUUUUUCAUAGGUAAUUCGACCUGAAGGAUGCAAACCAGUUGUUGACCCAAAGUUUUAUCUCUACGGAUGAUGAUCCUUUUUCUUCUGCUAUUCAUGCUAUUAUAGCCACUCUGUGUGCUAUUUCGAAAUGCUGGAAUAUGGGACACGUUUGGAGGGAAGGUUGUCAUGCUUCUCAUGCUCUUAACUAUUACUGUCACAUGAUCAAGAUCUGUCAAGAAGCAAUGGUUGGGAAUCAUUUUAAUGAGAACCUCCUAUGUGCAAUUGGAUAUGAUUUGUAGAUUGUUGGGCAUGGCAAGUGGGAGUUAAUACCAAAAGAAAGAGUUGCUGGUGAGGUGUAGGCUUUGUCAGACAAUUCAGAAACCUUAUCUUAUGUACAUAUGAAAGGUGUGCACUGCACUUGUAGUUAUUAGUAGCCUCUGAGGUUUGCAGCUUUUGUUGUGGAAGUGGGAGAGACAAGAUGUUAACGAAGACAUCGCUUUGCUGCGUAUGCGAUUUUUAAGCUAUAGUUUCGUUAAGCCCCUAGUCAAAUGCCCACUAAUUCUUGGCUUGCCAAUUCUACAUCUUCAUUUUUUCUGCUAUAGCCUAGUCCUCUUUGUAAUGUGACUUUUAUGUUAAACAUCAUAUGUACCAUUGAGGUAUUUUUAAGCUGUUUUUUGACUUCGUCUAAAAGAAAGCAAGCUUACCAGUUUACAAAAUAUAGUUAAGGAUGCAGUUGACUUGCCUCCAGUUUGACCAA